GAUGAACGCUAGCGGCAGGCUUAACACAUGCAAGUCGAGGGGUAUAGUUCUUCGGAACUAGAGACCGGCGCACGGGUGCGUAACGCGUAUGCAAUCUACCUUUUACAGAGGGAUAGCCCAGAGAAAUUUGGAUUAAUACCUCAUAGUAUGUGAGAAUCGCAUGGUUUUCAUAUUAAAGUUCCAACGGUAAAAGAUGAGCAUGCGUCCCAUUAGCUAGAUGGUAAGGUAACGGCUUACCAUGGCGACGAUGGGUAGGGGUCCUGAGAGGGAGAUCCCCCACACUGGUACUGAGACACGGACCAGACUCCUACGGGAGGCAGCAGUGAGGAAUAUUGGACAAUGGGCGCAAGCCUGAUCCAGCCAUGCCGCGUGCAGGAUGACGGUCCUAUGGAUUGUAAAGCUCUUUCAGCAGGAACGAAACGGUACGCGCUAACAUCGUGUGCUAAUGACGGUACCUGCAGAAGAAGCACCGGCUAACUACGUG
rnacentral:rRNA from 1 species